GACGAACCGUGCGAACGUUGUUCGGAAUCACUGGGCUUAAAGGGCGCGUAGGCGGCAGGCGAGGUCGGGGGGUGAAAUCCCGCAGCUUAACUGCGGAAGGGCCUCCGAUAGCCGGCUUGCCUGGAGGAGGGUGAGGGGUGCGCGGAACUUCUGGUGGAGCGGUGAAAUGCGUUGAUAGUCAGAAGGAACACCGGUGGCGAAGGCGGCAUCCUGGACCGACACUGACGCUGAGGAGCGAAAGCCAGGG
rnacentral:rRNA from 1 species